GGCGCCCUCAGUGGAUCGCGUCCCUUCUCCCGCGCUCGGGCACUGGCCCGCCGGCGGCUCUGCGCUUGCGCACGCUCCCCGCACCGUAGCGCGCGCGUCGGGCCGCCCCUCUGGCACGCCCUCCCCGGCUUCACCUUGGGCCCGCGGCGAGGUCUCGGCCCCUGCGGCUCGCGCGCUGCCCGGGCCGGACGGCGGCGCCUGGCGGGAGCGCGCCCGGGGGGGACGGCGCAGGCGUGGAGUUUCCGGACGCAGCGUCCGUCCCGCUGACUUCCCGCGUGGGGCCCGAGUUUCCGAGCGGCUCACCCACCGCUUCCUGCCGGGUGGCUUAUUGUUCUCUUCCAGCUGCCUGGGCAGGUGGCCGCGCCCCGCUUUUCGGCGUACUUGCUCCGCGCAUUUCGCUUCCGGGGUGCUGACACCCACAGCAGCUGGGUCUUAACCCAGGCCUUUAGUUUUCACCCUUUGCGUGGUGUCACUGAAUUGCUCUGGCGGGGCUGGAACUCUUGAUACUCCUGCUCCAACUCCCAGAGUGCUUGGGAUUACAGAUCUGGAUUUCUAAGGAAGCUGUAAUCAUCCUUCCAAGUCUCCAGUCUGCCCUCUUCCCAGCAGUUCUGCUCCUCCACGCACCAAGCAUUUCCCAGGUGUCCACUGUUCAGUGUUAAUAGGUAUUCCUGCAACACCACCAACAAAAAACUGUCCCACAGCCAGGCAUGAUGGUGCUUGCCUCUGAUCUCAGCACUCUGAGGGGCUCAGGCAGGAGGAUUGCAAGUUUGAACCCAGCUUGAGCAACUUGGAGACUUGAUUUACCUACAAGGAAAGAAUGUGCUCCUCAGCUAAUAAAAAUAUCUUGUGUGCUUGGUAGUUAAGAUGGACAUUGUAAUUGACCUCAAUUGCCAUUCUAAUCACUCAGGACUUUUAGAAAUCCAGGAUGUUGGCCCCUGGCCAGACCUACUGAAUCAGAAUCUGCAUUUUCACAAGAUUCCUUGGUAAUACCUGCCACAAUAAAAUCUUGAGAAGCAUUACUAAGCCAAUCACAAUAGUUCCGUCAUGUGCCCUCAAAAUUGGUUCUGUAAUGGGUGUUCCUUACCCAUUUCGAACCAGUGAGACACAAUGAGAUGCCAAUGCAGAGCAAAGCCAAGCCGUCUCUCUCCUGGAUGAAAACAAAGGCACAUGUUGCCUUGGUUCCUGCUGACAGGCAUCUAACAACUGCAAGAGAAACUGCUGGGUAGCCUGGUCAAUAUUUGGUUGCCUUCCUUGUCCGAUCCUGGUUGGACCCUCCAUUGGUUGAAGGAGGGACAGAAUGGAGUGUCCUGACUCUGCUUCCUGAGGAUGCAUUUGUGUGGCCUGUUGAGCCAAGUGACUGUCACCCAGAGGCUGUACAUUGGGAUGGCCUGGGGAACAUUCAGGAUCCAUCCAUUCCUGUGGCCCACCCCUGAGAUCGUGACUUAACGGGCCUGGGGCGGAAGCCAAGACAUUGGCUUUUUUUUUUUUUUUUGUACCGGAGAUUGAACUCGGGUCCUUGCGCUUGCGCCAGGCAAACAAAACCACUGAGCUAAACCCACGGCCCCAUUGGCGUUUUUAAAAAGCUCCUCAGUGGUUAUAAUAUAUAGCUAUAAUUGAGAACCAGCAAUUUAGACAGAUCACAUCUUAGAGCAUAAUACCAUUUUCACAUUCCCCAUGCAAAUGCUCCCUUCCCACUAAGACUGUUUGUGAAAUAUAGACUCGUAACUUUGUUAUCAUUACAAAAAUAAUACAAACCCCUUAUAAAACUGUCUUGAAUUACAG
rnacentral:lncRNA from 1 species